UAAUGUCUUCUUCUUCUUCUUCUUCGUU
rnacentral:sRNA from 1 species